rnacentral:rRNA from 1 species
AGGGUUUGAUCAUGGCUCAGAAUGAACGUUGGCGGCGUGGAUUAGGCAUGCAAGUCGCACGAGAAGCUUUAGUUUGAUACUUCGGUAGAUUUCUAGGGUGGACAGUGGCGAAAGGGAGAGUAACGCGUGGAUAUCUACCCCAAGACCCGGGAUAGCUGUGGGAAACUGCAGGUAAUACCGGAUAAUGUCUCCGGACCAAAGGUGUGAUUCCGUCUUGGGAUGAGUCCGCGUCCUAUUAGGUUGUUGGUGGGGUAAUGGCCUACCAAGCCAAUGAUGGGUAGCGGGUGUGAGAGCAUGACCCGUCUCACUGGGACUGAGACACUGCCCAGACACCUACGGGUGGCUGCAGUCGAGAAUCUUCCGCAAUGGACGAAAGUCUGACGGAGCGACGCCGCGUGCGGGACGAAGGCCUUCGGGUUGUAAACCGCUGUCAGUUGGGAGGAAAUGCAUAGGGGCACUCUCCUAUGUUUGACCGAUCUUCAGAGGAAGUCCGGGCUAAGUUCGUGCCAGCAGCCGCGGUAAGACGAACCGGACAAACGUUAUUCGGAAUUACUGGGCUUAAAGAGUACGUAGGCGGCUUGGUAGGUUGGGUGUGAAAUCCCACAGCUCAACUGUGGAACUGCGCUCAAAACCACCAAGCUUGAGGGAGACAGGGGUAAGCGGAACUGAUGGUGGAGCGGUGAAAUGCGUUGAUAUCAUCAGGAACACCGGUGGCGAAGGCGGCUUACUGGGUCUUUUC